CACCUACGGGUGGCAGCAGUGGGGAAUUUUGGACAAUGGGGGCAACCCUGAUCCAGCCAUUCCGCGUGAGUGAAGAAGGCCUUCGGGUUGUAAAGCUCUUUUGUCCGGAGCGAAACGGGCGCGGCUAAUAUCCGCGUUCACUGACGGUACCGGAAGAAUAAGCACCGGCUAACUACGUGCCAGCAGCCGCGGUAAUACGUAGGGUGCGAGCGUUAAUCGGAAUUACUGGGCGUAAAGCGUGCGCAGGCGGUUUUGUAAGCCAGUCGUGAAAUCCCCGGGCUCAACCUGGGAAUGGCGAUUGGGACUGCAAGGCUGGAGUAUGGCAGAGGGGACUGGAAUUCCUGGUGUAGCAGUGAAAUGCGUAGAUAUCAGGAGGAAUACCGAUGGCGAAGGCAGGUCCCUGGGCUGAUACUGACGCUCAUGCACGAAAGCGUGGGGAGCAAACAGGAUUAGAUACCCUGGUAGUCCACGCCCUAAACGAUGUCGACUGGUUGUUGGGGGUUUGACACCUUCAGUAACGAAGCUAACGCGUGAAGUCGACCGCCUGGGGAGUACGGCCGCAAGGUUAAAACUCAAAGGAAUUGACGGGGACCCGCACAAGCGGUGGAUUAUGUGGAUUAAUUCGAUGCAACGCG
rnacentral:rRNA from 1 species